CUGAGAUUUUGUCAGUACAAUGUAAGUUUCAGUUAUUUUUUUCCUUAGUGUAAAUAAUUCUGUAGCUGUCCCUUUUACAUUCCUUCUCAUCCCAUUUUUGACAAAGGAUUUCCAACAAUGGCAGACACUGAAUCAGAAGAAAAGAAAAGAACAAAGGGUCUUCUACUAUAUUGAAUGAUUAAUCUCUCGCUCUCUCUCUCUCUCACACACACACACACACCACACCCAUGCAUGCACGCACGCACAUACCCAAAUGAGAGGUGACAGCAUGCUGGCAGCCCUUGCAGCCCUCGCUCGCUCUUGGGGCCUCCUCAGCCUUGGCGCCCACUCUGGCCGCACUUGAGGAGGCCUUCAGCCUGCCGCUGCACUAUGGGAGCCCCUUUCUGGCCUGGCCAAGGCCGCAGGCUGCUCCCUCAGCUUGCGGGCAAAACUACAUUUCUCUGGAGUGCCCAAUCCUCUCCAAUGUGACUUGGAUAAUUCUCAAUAAUUUAAGCAACUUGGAGUCCUAAUGUUUUUUGCCAGAGACUAAUUUAGAGUUUGCCAAUGGACUGUCUCUGACCAAUGAAGAAGUGAGGGGUGGUCUCCUGGGAGCUUCUUUGAAAGGUUCCCUCACUUCACAAAGAACAUGAGGAAGAAAUACUUGCUCUUUUGAAUGUUAUGUUCCUGUAUAGGGCACCUAAACUGAUAUUGCCAUGGGCAUCAAUGAAGGACAUUAGGCAAAGGCAAAGACAACAUGUAGAGAAAGAUAGAACUAAAAGGCAGAAGCAACCCACGUUCAAACGUCAUCAUGAAGCCACUGAAUUAGCCUAGUAAUGGACCUCAGUGCUUAACUAUUAUUGAGAUACUUCAUUUUCUUUAUUGUGUAAGCUAAUUUAAGGCAUAUUUUCAGCAUUCUGAAUCUUAAAGCAUCCUAAAUGAUGCAUUAUUAAAUAAAUAUUAUAUUUUUCUCCAGGCCCCGACCCUUCUAUCAUAUAAACAGACAUAUGUAGAUGUGUGUAUAAAAGCAUACACACAAUAGAAAAAGGCUGACAUAUAGAACAGCAUGCCAGCUUAAUAUGUGGCCCUACUAAAUGAUAAGUCUACUAAGAAAAAUCUGUUUUAUUUUAUUUGUCUGGGAUUGGCUAAGAGUCUCAUAUGGUAAAUAUUCUGAAAAAGGCAGUAUUUUCUCUCAAAUGACUUAUAAUCAAGCAAAGAGCAAAAGUGUAUAAACAACUUUCAUGCAAGUCUGUGUGUAGUCUGUAUCUUAGGAGAGGUAUAAGACUGAGAAAGGAAAGAUUGCAAGGGGUGGCUCAUGAUCUCUGACCAAGGAGGCACCAUUUGCAUCACAAACAAUAUGCAUUUAUGUUCCAUUUACUUGGCAUUAUAAUUAGUACCUCUAGUCUAAUAAAAAUGUUGCCCCUUCUUGGGAUGGUCACCAACAUCUAUUUCUUAUUUCCUCUCUGACAUUCAUCUUUCCUGAAGUCCAUUUAAUAUUUGCCAAUUCCAGAAUAGAAAUACCAGCUUUCAUCACCAGACAUUCUUCUUACAUCUAUUGUUUCUUCUUACAGUCUGUUGGCAUAGACUGAG
rnacentral:lncRNA from 10 species